rnacentral:lncRNA from 1 species
GUGAAAAACCCACGAGACCGAUCACGCAAAGAAAAUCCACUAAGAAAACUUGAAUACAAGUAAUUUCGACAAAAACACACGACUCAAUUUACCGAUUUCUCGUCGAUGAUGAUCUUUGCCGGUCCUCGAUCGAUAGGAAUCCACCAAUCGACCUUGCUGCAACUCCUCGCAGCGUCAGCGCCUCAACUCCUCGAAGCAUCCACCGAAUCCUCGGCUUCACGCGAGAUCCACGCGCCGAACCU